UCUCCGUAGGUGAACCUGCGGAGGGAUCAUUACAGAGUUCUCGCCCUCGCGGGUAGAUCUCCCACCCACUGUUAUCGUUACUGUGUUGCUUUGGCGGGCCGCCGGGCCCCGCUCGGCCGCCGGCUCCGGCUGGCGCGCGCCCGCCAGAGGCCAGCAAACUCUGAAUGUUAGUGUCGUCUGAGUACUAUAUAAUAGUUAAAACUUUCAACAACGGAUCUCUUGGUUCUG
rnacentral:misc_RNA from 1 species